rnacentral:rRNA from 1 species
GAUGAACGCUGGCGGCGUGCCUAAUACAUGCAAGUCGAGCGAACAGAUCAGGAGCUUGCUCCUCUGACGUUAGCGGCGGACGGGUGAGUAACACGUGGAUAACCUACCUAUAAGACUGUGAUAACUUCGGGAAACCGGAGCUACUACCGGAUAAUAUAUUGAACUGCAUGGUUCAAUAGUGUAAGACGGUUUUGCUGUCACUUAUAGAUGGAUCCGCGCCGCAUUAGCUAGUUGGUAAGGUAACGGCUUACCAAGGCAACGAUGCGUAGCCGACCUGAGAGGGAGAUCGGGCACACUGGAACUGAGACACGGUCCAGACUCCUACGGGAGGCAGCAGUAGGGAAUCUUCCGCAAUGGGCGAAAGCCUGACGGAGCAACGCCGCGUGAGUGAUGAAGGUCUUCGGAUCGUAAAACUCUGUUAUUAGGGAAGAACAAAUGUGUAAGUAACUAUGCACGUCUUGACGGUACCUAAUCAGAAAGCCACGGCUAACUACGUG